UACGUAGGUGGCGAGCGUUGUCCGGAUUUACUGGGCGUAAAGGGAGCGUAGGCGGAUUUUUAAGUGAGAUGUGAAAUACUCGGGCUCAACUUGAGUGCUGCAUUUCAAACUGGAAGUCUAGAGUGCAGGAGAGGAGAAUGGAAUUCCUAGUGUAGCGGUGAAAUGCGUAGAGAGUAGGAAGAACACUAGUGGCGAAGGCGAUUCUCUGGACUGUAACUGACGCUGAGGCUCGAAAGCGUGGGGAGCAAACAGG
rnacentral:rRNA from 1 species